UGAAGAAGAUGAUGAAGAUGAUGAGGAUGAAGAAGAAGAUGAGGAGGAGGAAGAACAGGAGGAAGAUGCAGAAAGUGAAGCAUCCACACCAAGGAUAGUUCAAUACGAAGCACUGUGUGAUUUUGAAGGGGAACAAGAAGAAGACCUUAGCUUUAAACAUGGAGAUAUCCUCACUCUUAUAUUAAUCAGAGAAGAUGGCUGGUGGGAAUGUGAAGACUCCGAGGGGAACAAGGGUCUUGUGCCAAGUACAUAUCUCAAGGAACACAGUAGAUACAAGGCCAUACAGUCACAGGAUGGUAAUGG